CCGAGAGAGGGCGCCUCGCGCGCCCGACCUCCCAACCCUCUGUUUGACCAAACCACGUUGCCUCGGGGGACGACCCGGUCGCCCCCGGCGGACCAACCUUCAAAACUCUGCAUCUUUGCGUCGGAGUCGCAAGUUUAAAUCGUUUA
rnacentral:misc_RNA from 1 species